CUGCGAAUGGCUCAUUAUAUAAGUUAUCGUUUAUUUGAUAGUGCCUAUCCUACAUGGAUAACAGUGGUAAUUCUAGAGCUAAUACAUGCUAAAUGCUCCGACUUCGGAAGGAGCGUAUUUAUCAGAUUAAAAACCAGCGCCCUUUGGGCUCCUUGGUGGCUCAUGAUAACUCCACAGAUCGCAUGGCCUAGUGCCGGCGAUGGCUCAUUCAAAUUUCUUCCCUAUCAACUUUCGACGGUAGGGUCUUGGCCUACCGUGGUUGUAACGGGUGACGGAGGGUUAGGGCUCGACCCCGGAGAGGGAGCCUGAGAAACGGCUACCACAUCCAAGGAAGGCAGCAGGCGCGCAAAUUAUCCAAUCCCGACACGGGGAGAUAGUGACAAUAAAUAUCGAUACGGGGCUCUUUUGGGCCCCGUAAUUGGAAUGAGUACAAUUUAAACCUCUUAACGAGGAACAAUUGGAGGGCAAGUCUGGUGCCAGCAGCCGCGGUAAUUCCAGCUCCAAUAGCGUAUAUUAAAGUUGUUGUGGUUAAAAAGCUCGUAGUCGAACCUCGGGCUCGGCCGGCCGGUCCGCCUCACCGCGUGCACUGGCCCGGCCGGGCCCUUCCCUCUGCGGAACCGCAUGCCCUUUACUGGGCGUGUCGGGGAGGCAGGACUUUUACUUUGAAAAAAUUAGAGUGCUCAAGGCAGGCCAAUGCUCGGAUACAUUAGCAUGGAAUAAUGAAAUAGGACGUUCGGUUCUAUUUUGUUGGUUUCUAGGACCGCCGUAAUGAUCAAUAGGGACGGUCGGGGGCAUCAGUAUUCAGCCGCGAGAGGUGAAAUUCUUAGACCGGCUGAAGACUAACUACUGCGAAAGCAUUUGCCAAGGACGUUUUCGCUGAUCAGGAACGAAAGUUAGGGGAUCGAAGACGAUCAGAUACCGUCGUAGUCUUAACCAUAAACGGUGCCGACUGGGGAUCGGGC
rnacentral:rRNA from 1 species